ACCUACGGGGGGCAGCAGUGGGGAAUUGUUCACAAUGGGCGCAAGCCUGAUGACGCAACGCCGCGUGGGGGAUGAAGGUCUUCGGAUUGUAAACCCCUGUCGAAUGGGACGAAAGACCCGGGAGCUAAUCAUCUCGGGAGUGACGGUACCGUUAAAGGAAGCCACGGCUAACUCUGUGCCAGCAGCCGCGGUAAUACAGAGGUGGCAAGCGUUGUUCGGAAUUACUGGGCGUAAAGGGCGCGUAGGCGGCCAUCUAAGUCAGACGUGAAAUCCCCCGGCUUAACCUGGGAACUGCGUCUGAUACUGGACGGCUCGAGUUUGGGAGAGGGAUGCAGAAUUCCAGGUGUAGCGGUGAAAUGCGUAGAUAUCUGGAGGAAUACCGGUGGCGAAGGCGGCAUCCUGGACCAACACUGACGCUGAGGCGCGAAAGCUAGGGGAGCAAACGGGAUUAGAUACCCGUGUAGUCC
rnacentral:rRNA from 1 species